GCGUGAGUGAAGAAGGCCUUAGGGUUGUAAAGCUCUUUCAGUGGUGAAGAUAAUGACGGUAGCCACAGAAGAAGCCCCGGCCAACUCCGUGCCAGCAGCCGCGGUAAUACGGAGGGGGCUAGCGUUGUUCGGAAUUACUGGGCGUAAAGCGCGCGUAGGCGGGCUGGCCAGUUGGGGGUGAAAUCCCGAGGCUUAACCUCGGAACUGCCCUCAAUACUGUCAGCCUCGAGUCCGGGAGAGGUGAGUGGAAUUCCUAGUGUAGAGGUGAAAUUCGU
rnacentral:rRNA from 1 species